UUUAUUAUUUCCAUUAAUUUCUACAUCAAAAAUUAAAAAAAUUACAGCAAUUAAAAAGAAUUGUAAUGAAAAGGGUAAUCGAGCUGUAUUUUUAGGAUCAAAUCCACAUUCAAAUGGUGAUCUUUUUUCUCGAUCAGAAAAUCUUUUUUUAGAAAUUAAAUUUAAUAGAAUAAUUAAUAUAAAAUUAAUUAAGGUGAUUAUAAUAGUUAGUAAAAAAAUAAUUUUAAUUAUUUAUACUAGUUUUCUAGAUUUUUUGAUUGGAAGUCAAAUAUAAUUAUUAUAUUAUAUAAAUUAUUUAUCUACCUCAUCAAUAGAUAGAAAUAUAUAGGAAUAAUCAUACAACAUCAACAAAAUGUCAGUAUCAAGCAGCAGCUUCGAAUCCAAAGUGAUGAAUACAUCUAAAAUGUCCUAAAAUAUGACGAAUUAGACAUACUAAUAAAAAAGUAGAACCAAUAAUUACAUGAAGUCCAUGAAAACCAGUUGCUAUAAAAAAUGCUGAUCCAUACACUGAAUCAGCAAUAGUAAAUGGAGCUUCAAUAUAUUCAUAAGUUUGUAAGAGAGUGAAAUAUAUUCCUAAUAUUACAGUUAAAAUUAAUCUGUUUAAUCUUUGGGUAUAAUUAUUUUCUAUUAGUCUAUGAUGAGCUCAAGUUACUGUAAGUCCUGAAGUUAAUAAAAUUAAUGUAUUUAAUAAAGGAAUUUCAAUUGGAUUAAAAGUUUGAAUUCCUUUGGGGGGUCAAAUUAUUCCUAAUUCAAUGCUAGGAGAUAAUGAUCUAUGAAAAAAUCCUCAAAAAAAAGAUAAAAAAAAGAAUACUUCAGAUGUAAUAAAAAGAAUUAUUCCUCAUCGUAGUCCUAUAGUUACAUUAUAUGUAUGAUGUCCUUGAUAGGUUCUUUCUCGUGUAAUGUCUCGUCAUCAUUGAUAUAU